CCAUAGGUCUGUGUGGUGUAUCUGUUAA
rnacentral:sRNA from 1 species